AAAUCUGUAGUGUUAAUUUGAGUUAAAUUCCCAGUGUAAAUUAUUCAGAGUGAAUGGGUGUUGAUUUUUGUGUUAUUUUAACACUUGCAGUGCUGAAAAAGCUCUGUGGGGGGCGUCAUUUCAAGGAGUCAGGAGCAUACACUCAUUUUGAGUUACUUUCCACAUCCGUUUUUUUCGCGCUCAUUGACGAGAAGGACAUUUGUCGUCACUGAUUUAGCUAACGUGCCAGUGAAUUUAGUGCGCCCAGAAGAGAACUGUGUGGGAUUGGGAUACUCGGUUUAAAAGGUGCAGUUUCAGGAUGUACCAUGUUGCUGAAGGUGAAAUACCAUAGUAUCAAGAAAUACAUCAAAUUGCACUCAGGCUUCACCUAUUUGGAAUUCAUCAGGGAAGUCAAAAACAAGUUUGGGCUUCCUGAUGAUGCAGCUCAACUUUACAUUUUUGAUGAAACUGACACAGCAGUAGAGGAAGACAUUCUUCUAGAGCUGUUGGAGGGCAAUCCAGACUUGUGCCUGACAGUACGUGACAGCAUUUCAGAU